rnacentral:rRNA from 1 species
CCUACGGGAGGCAGCAGUGGGGAAUAUUGCACAAUGGGCGCAAGCCUGAUGCAGCCAUGCCGCGUGUAUGAAGAAGGCCUUCGGGUUGUAAAGUACUUUCAGCGGGGAGGAAGGGAGUAAAGUUAAUACCUUUGCUCAUUGACGUUACCCGCAGAAGAAGCACCGGCUAACUCCGUGCCAGCAGCCGCGGUAAUACGGAGGGUGCAAGCGUUAAUCGGAAUUACUGGGCGUAAAGCGCACGCAGGCGGUUUGUUAAGUCAGAUGUGAAAUCCCCGAGCUUAACUUGGGAACUGCAUUUGAAACUGGCAAGCUAGAGUCUUGUAGAGGGGGGUAGAAUUCCAGGUGUAGCGGUGAAAUGCGUAGAUAUGUGGAAGAACACCGAUGGCGAAGGCAGCCCUCUGGGACAUGACUGACGCUCAUGCAC